rnacentral:rRNA from 1 species
UACGGAGGGGGCUAGCGUUGUUCGGAAUUACUGGGCGUAAAGCGCACGUAGGCGGUUUUGUAAGUCAGGGGUGAAAUCCCGAGGCUCAACCUCGGAACUGCCUUUGAUACUGCAAAUCUCGAGUCCGGAAGAGGUGAGUGGAAUUCCUAGUGUAGAGGUGAAAUUCGUAGAUAUUAGGAAGAACACCAGUGGCGAAGGCGGCUCACUGGUCCGGUACUGACGCUGAGGUGCGAAAGCGUGGGGAGCAAACAGG